GAGCUUGAAAACGGAGCACAUGAUCUUCAUUUCUUUUUUGAAAAUAAAAAAAAUCUCAAGUGCUCCGAUUGGGCCGAAAAACGGAGCAUAGAAUUUUCUUUUGGGCCCAAAACUCCCUCCCUUCGUUGAACUUGCACCCGCAUUUACUCUCUAAUUACUUCGUUGAACUUGAACCCCCCUCUCUAUCUCUCUCAGUCUCUCCCCUUCCAUCUUCUCUAUUCCAUUCAUGGGGUUCCCCUCUCCGGUUCCCAGGGUCGUGACGGAAACAACCAGCAAACCAAAACCCAUCCCUAUUCCUCGUCACUCUCGUAUCUCUCAUUCACACAUCGUCCUCUUCCAAGACCCAACUCAAAACCCUAAUGCGAGAGCAGACGACCGCCACGACUCCUUGAUGAUGGAGUGACAGACACAACCAGCAUCCUCGUCUCCUUCUCUCACGGUGGCAGAUCUAAGGUUAAGGUUUUGAUCUUCUCUUUGUUGUCGAAAUUGUAUCUGCGCAAUCAUCUGACCCGUACCUGCGUUUUCUGCAGAAGAUGCUAGAGGUAACACUGUUGAGAUGGUGCUGUUUCAGGAUAGCGUUAAAUUUGCUCGAUCAGGCCCUGAAAACUCCAGGGCGAAUCUCCGCCAUUUGGAAAAUGGGAAGGCAACAGACAAUAUCGUCAAAGUACUGAAAGGCCAGCGUGUUGGCACUCUAUUUCACAAGGAUGCUCAAUUAUGGGCUCUAGCUGAAGAAACUGGUGCACGUGAGAUGGCAGUUGCUGCAAGAGAGUGUUCCAGGAUGCUUCAGAAACAUACAUUUGUAUGGUGCGUCUGAAAAGCUCUUCUAAUAAAGAUGCAGUGCAGAUGCAACCGGGCUCUGGUGAAACUCAUAUUUUCUUUCCGGAUAGUCUUGUUGAUGAUCUGAACAUUACGAUUCUGGACUCAAAAGGCCAUCAUUGUGGGUGUGCUGUGGCUCAAGUUACAUCGAUCAUUUGAAUGAAAGUGUGCUGUGGCUCAAGUUGCAUCGAUCAUUCUGAUCAAACCUGCUUCAAGGACAUGCUGAGUUUGGUGUCUGCUCCUUCUGUUAGUCUUCUGUUAGUGACAGUUGAAUUAAAGUGUCAAAGCCCCAAUAAUUUCUUGUAGUGCAUGACUAGUUGAUUAUCUAGAGAACUUUUAUGUAUUGACCUUGGGCAAUGAGGAAUUGUAAUUAACUCACCCUCUUAUAGUUUUUUUUUUACCUUCUAAAGUCUCUCGUCAUAUAUUCAGUCUUGAACGUCGUACCCUUUAUAAUUUGAUUGUGAACACUUUUGCAUA